AGUGUCCAUUUUAUUAUUUUUUUUUGCACAGGGAGGCAGCACAUUUCCUAGUUUAUUUAUUUAUUUAAUCUAGGGAAAAAUCGCUUUUCCUUUGUCUCCCACAGAACAAAGAAACGUGAACACAGGAUUUAAACAGCGAGGGCUGUGCUGGGCUGAGCCCAUCCCCAGGGUGAAGGCUCUGCUUUUAAUGGUGUUACACGCAGCAGAAAUAAAUUUGGCUGGGAGUCUGUAAUCACUGCCUGAAUUAAUGGAAAAUAAAGGGGGUUCUUUGGAGCAGGCUGAAUAGCCCAGCUGCAGCAAUCAUCUCGUCACUCAUCAGAAUGAUGGUGGAAUUAGUUCCAGAUAUAAAACUGGGCAGCAGAGGCGAGACACCCACGGGGGUUUAAUUCCCAGUUAAGGACACUGGAGGUUUCCUUUCCACCCAUGCUGGUGCCACACACUCAUGGCUCACCAGGGGUUCAAGAGGGACAGGAAUAUGGACAUCAGUUUGUGCAAUUUCAUUCUUUUUUUUUCAGGGAUUUGACAAAGUUUUGUCCCAAAUCACCUCCCUGUUCCUGUUCCUGCCUUUAGAAGUUCCCAGUGUGGCUGAGCCUUGUUGUGGUCGUAGCUGGGGAUGCAGGGAGCAGCACCCUCACAUCUACAGAGACUUACACAGGAAGGACAUUUUUUGGAGUUAUUGUAACAGCCUUGGUUGACUCACUACACUUUCCCAUUGAAGAAGGUUGAGAAGAAAAGCCUGUGAUUUAUUUAAAAAGGGCUUUUUUCCCCUCUCUCAGAAGCACAAUGAGCUUUUUCUUGGAUGAAAGCCAUGAUUGCAGUUUGGCUCGUGUGCCCUGCAUCCCCCUGUGAGCAGGUCCCAGGCAUCACUUUGUGCAUCGCUGGCAGGCGGCGAGCGGAGCCGCAUCCGUAACCCAGCUGCUGCCACCGGGUGUCACACAGGACCCCCAGAAAGGACCACAAUGCCCCCUCCCCGAGGAAAGCUGGCAAGUGUGAACCUCAGCGGUGGGAAAACCCCUCGGGAAGAGGCUGCCCAGCUGGCUGAGUGUUCUCCGGGAACAGAAAAGCAGGUGCCUCCAUCCCACUGACAGAUUUCAGGAGGUGGGUCCUGUCUUUGGGGUGAAAUACAAAGAGACACCACUUCCAGAAAGCUUUCCCAGCCUUUUCCCAGCUGGCAGAGCUCUGGGAAGCUCUCUGUGCCUGUGCAGAGAAUAUUUUAAUCUCUGCUGCUGUUAUUAGUAUUAUCACUGCUAAUGGUAAUCGAUAAAUUAAGGGCUAUGGGAUUCCCCACUGAGAUAUUGCUCAGCUGAGCCUUAGCACUUUGCAAACACCCGCUGGGAAAGCCAUUCCUGCUGAAAUCGCUCUGGAGCCGGCUGGGAUUGCCCUGGGGGAGAUAGAGAGUUCUAAAUCACCGUCUUGUAGAGGCUGGUGCUGGUUUAGUGCAAAGCAUAAAGAGCCCACAAAGGCUUUUGUGCUGCGGGUUGGAGUGACACAAUUCCUGCCCAUGCCCAAGGGAUGAGAAAUCAGGGAUGCUGUCUUUAUAAAACCAGGAUUUUUUUUCUUGUGAAAGCCCAAGAUCUUUGAAUUUGGCCCAUAUGCGACAACAUGGUGAGGUUGGCAAAGGUGAAAUAAAAAAAGGUGAAUAAAAUAAAGGUGAAUAAAA
ensembl:lncRNA